GCUAACUUAGAGGACUGAAUGGAGGCAAGCUCAAGAGCUCACACAGAAGAGAGGAACAAAGCACCAGCAAACAGUGCAAGAGACCCAGAUAAAUCCUUAGAGGACACUUUUUGAGAGGGUUUCUGGAAAUGUGGGCAAGUGCUGUAAGUGGAGUGAUAAAGAACCAAAGACUGUCCAGGGCUGGGUUUUCCACUUGGCUUCUGAGAAGAGUAUUCAUUGAAAGCUAACCUGUCUCCCCCUGUGCUGAAGCUCUUUGACUCUCCAGAGGCUACCAAGCCACUCCUGCCCAUCAGACUAAUCCUGUGGGGGAUGAAGAUUGAGCAGAGCAGCCACACAGGCAUAGUGCUGUGACUCACCUUUGCACCUUCAGCGUCUUAUGCUAAUGAAUGUCUCUGUGCCAGCCAGAGGUAGAUGCUUUGAAGAUGCUGCUGCCUUAGUUGUGGUGCUUAAAGUGGAAGACUGCAUCUUUCCUGUAUCAACAUAAAUUGGCAGGGCUAUCCAGGACCUUGUAUGAGCACAGUCCCAGGUAAAUCUGCAUUCAUAAUCCAAGAUGUUGCUGGGGAUAUUUGUCUGAGAAGAUUGCAUUUAAAACAAUAGAUGGAGACUAGUACACCUCAGAAUCACAGCAUUGUCACAUCCCAUCCUAUCAGUACUUCUCUGAAGCAUUCUAAUGAUGAUAGAACCUCCAGAUGUGCCAAUCCACAGCUUUAGUUCUUUUUUUUCUCCCCCUUCUCCCCUGCCAAACUCCCUCCA